CUCUAUUUAACUCUGUGUGGAGAGGAAACAGAGCUGUGGACACUUGAACAAAAUGGACUACAGGACAGCACUUGUGUUUGUCACAUACUGGACAGGUGUCUUUGCUCAGACUCUGACUGAAUCUGGUCCAGCUGUGAAAAGACCAGGAGAGUCCCACAGACUGACCUGUACAACAUCUGGGUUCACAUUUAGCAGCUAUGGCAUGAGCUGGAUCAGACAGGCUCCUGGGAAGGGGCUGCAGUGGCUGGCUGUCAUAUGGAGCGGUGGGAGCACUUAUUACUCUGAGUCAGUGAAAGGCAGGUUCACCAUCUCCAGAGACAACAGCAGAAACCAGCUGUAUCUGCAGAUGAACAACCUCCAGACUGAGGACACGGCUGUGUACUACUGUGCCCGAGAAGCACAGUGACACAAAGUAUAUCUACAACUGUACAAAAACAUUAAAGGGUGCAAUUCACAAUAACAACCAGAGGGGUCGCCCUAUACACAGCAAAAUGUCACUGAAGCUUUAAGUGCAGGUGGUUCUAGAAUAUUGAGUCACACUUUAUAAUAAAUGCAGAUUAAUUCAUCUUAAACACAAAUA